GACGUAGGGCGCGAGCGUUGUCCGGAUUUAUUGGGCGUAAAGAGCUCGUAGGCGGUUUGUCGCGUCUGCCGUGAAAGUCCGGGGCUCAACUCCGGAUCUGCGGUGGGUACGGGCAGACUAGAGUGCAGUAGGGGAGACUGGAAUUCCUGGUGUAGCGGUGAAAUGCGCAGAUAUCAGGAGGAACACCGGUGGCGAAGGCGGGUCUCUGGGCCGAUACUGACGCUGAGGAGCGAAAGCGUGGGGAGCGAACAGG
rnacentral:rRNA from 1 species